GAUCCAGCCAUGCCGCGUGAGUGAUGAAGGCCCUAGGGUUGUAAAGCUCUUUCACCGGUGAAGAUAAUGACGGUAACCGGAGAAGAAGCCCCGGCUAACUUCGUGCCAGCAGCCGCGGUAAUACGAAGGGGGCUAGCGUUGUUCGGAAUUACUGGGCGUAAAGCGCACGUAGGCGGAUCAGCAAGUUAGGGGUGAAAUCC
rnacentral:rRNA from 1 species